CAACCACAAAAAAAAGGUAAAAUUUCAUAAUAAUACUAACUCAAUAAAGGUCCGAAACUGAAAAGAGAUUAAGAAUGAAGAAUAAAUUAUCUCAUCUUACUACAUAGUGUUUUAGCUAAAAUAAUCAGAAGUCAGAAAAAAAGCAAAAAGAUAAAAUCUGAGACAAAGCAAUCCUCCGAACACAAAUGUGUGUGAUAGAGUACCAACGCAAAGAACCAAAAAAGCAAGUCAGAAGAAAAAUAAUGACCAAAAUGCCAAAGUCAGCACGAAGUAGGAAGGCACAUGCCUAAAGCCCCAAAAGCCCAGCCACCAGCUAAGAGG
rnacentral:lncRNA from 1 species